rnacentral:lncRNA from 1 species
CUAUUUAUCCGCAUUACAAAUACAGUAACGUUAGUUAUCGCUGAACUUUAGUGGCGCUUGUUGUGACGAAAAUAUGCGUGUUUUUUUUUUAAGAUUUACUUUUAUGAGAUCACCUGCAGGAAGCAGGUGAGGAGAUCAGCUGUGAUUCGGUCCGGCGUCAGCGAGCGGCUCAUGACCAGACCAGUCGUUGUUUUCUCCAUGAUCGCCGGGGCAGCAGCAGUUUUAACCCGCCGAGGCUUUUAGAACAUUAUAAAGCAGUUUCAGCUCAAAAUGGACCCGUGAGUGUCACUACCAGUUUGUGAGCUGAUAUGCAGUGGAAAUUGACAUCCAGAAGGAAGUCAUAGAGGAAACACCAGCUGAUGCAAGUGCUGCAGAAGAAUUCAAUCGAAUAUCAGGAAGAAAUGUGAGAUCCAAGUUCUACGCUGCAUUGGACACACACUGCUCGUUUGAUUGAAAUAAAAAAAAAAAAAAACAGGAGAAAAUUGCAGAAGAAAACUAGAAGAAAUUUUCAACAUGUUAAUUCAAAGGUCAUCUGGCAGCAGUUUUCCGGGGUCUUUCAGUCCUUUAGAGGGAUGAGUCUAAAGAAAUUUUCAGGAUGUGUUUUGAUGUAAUUGUAGAGUCGGACUUCAGUGCAGAAGAUGUUGGCCUGCUGACUGUCGUGUGUGAAGAUGUCUAAAGAACCUCAUUAUGGAUGCAAUGUGGGCCUUUAUACUGGAAGGAAAAGUGGUUAUGGACUUUGCCACAUGCAGUAUGUCUCUUUUUUUGCUUUGAUUUACACACUGAAUUCGGACUACCCAAAGACUUUGAGCAAUGCAUUUGAAUUUGUUCAAUGUGUGUUGCUUUUGCUGGGAGGGAAGCGUAAUGUGUUUUAUUCGGCGAGUGCCUAUAUACUGCUGUGCUUUAUGUUUAAAGGUUCAGGUAUAAUGGCAUGUUUAAUUACAAAGUGUUGCUUUUUAACAUGUUGCUGUUUGCAGUGUUACAUUUAGGACUGCAGCAUUUUGGUGUUUAAAACACUUUUUUUUUUUUUACCAAAAAAGUGUAUUGUGAUUUAUAGGGUUGUCAAAAGUAUUGAGUUUGGUACC